GAACGCACAUUGCGCCCGCCAGUAUUCUGGCGGGCAUGCCUGUCCGAGCGUCAUUUCAACCCAUCAAGCCUAGCGCUUGUGUUGGAGCCCUGCGGCCGCCGCAGCCUCCUAAAAUCAGUGGCGGGCUCGCUAUCACACUGAGUGCAGUAGUAUUCUUCUCACUCCUGUUGUGUAGCGGGUAACCAGCCGUAAAAACCCCCCAUAUUCAAAGGUUGACCUCGGAUCAGGUAGGAAUACCCGCUGAACUUAAG
rnacentral:misc_RNA from 1 species